CCCCUCUCGCCUCCAGAGUAGGCCUCAAAAGUGUCAGGUAGGAUUCCUCCUCCAGGGGACUGAAGCCUGUUGGGCCAGCCUCACCCAGGAUCCAGGGCUCUCUGCCCGCUGAGGGCCACCGUUGCCGCUUGGUUUUGUGCCAGAAAUCUGAAUUUUAUAGCUUCUUAGGCCUUGGGUUGCAGGAGCUGGUCUCACUUGCGUCCAUCCAGCUGGGCGGUCAGGCC